CGUCUUGCAGUAUCAGACGAUAUUUGUCUUCUUAGGAUGGUCUUGCCUCGUAGGAAGAGGAAGCAACUUUGUUGACAGUCAAACUUCAAUUUCCUGGGAACCAUUGGAGCCGCUUUUGUUCAACGAGGAUGUCAUUCUUAAGUGCAACAUUAAAGACUGUUGUCCAGAGGGAACACAGUGGACUGGUGGGAAAACCAAUUCACUUCUGACAUUAGGACGAGUGUCAAAUGAUAAAACCAAAUAUGAGGAGUUGUGGGGUGUGGAUGCUUCAUAUUUAAGAAUAAAGAAGUUUGGAUUAGAAGAUGGAGAUAGCUUGUAUACUUGCUUUCAUGGAUUUUCUAAACACUCAAAAAACCUCACAAUCAAUGGAAAUAACUUUGCGUUGAUGCCUACAGAGGAGAGUGUAAAAAAGAAUGUUACUGUAAUUGAUGGUUAUCUAAAUGCAAACGUUGAAUUUUUGGAAGUUUACCCUGAGCCAGUAUGUAACUGUACAUUUCAGAAAUUAGGCAUUACAGAACACAUAAAUGUAAGCAGUGAGUUUUUUUCAACAACAAGUUUUUUUUUAAAUGGCAAGAUACAUAUUGCCCAUCAAAUAUGCCAUGGAGAAUGUUUAGGAACCAUGCAGAUUGACUGCAGAAUCGGAAUACAUUCGUACAAAGUUUUAGAAGCAAUGGAAGAUAUACAGUUUAAAUGGCGUCCUAAAACAAAGACCACAGAGCAUGUUAUUAUAUGUACUGUUCUUGCAAUUGUACUGACUGUCUUUGCCGUUGUACUUGUCUUUAUACUGCGAAGAAAAU